rnacentral:rRNA from 1 species
CCUACGGGAGGCAGCAGUGAGGAAUAUUGGUCAAUGGUCGGGAGACUGAACCAGCCAAGCCGCGUGAGGGAUGAAGGUACAGAGUAUCGUAAACCUCUUUUGUCAGGGAACAAAGGCGGGGACGCGUCCCCGGAUGAGUGUACCUGAAGAAAAAGCAUCGGCUAACUCCGUGCCAGCCGCCGCGGUAAUACGGAGGAUGCGAGCGUUAUCCGGUUUUAUUGGGUUUAAAGGGUGCGCAGGCGGUCUGUUAAGUCAGCGGUCAAAGCCCGGGGCGAAACCCCGGCCCGCCGUUGAAACUGGCAGUCUUGAGUUGGAGAGAGGUAUGCGGAAUGCGCGGUGUAGCGGUGAAAUGCAUAGAUAUCGCGCAGAACUCCGAGUGCGAAGGCAGCAUGCCGGCUCCACACUGACGCUGAGGCACGAAAGCGUGGGUAUCGAACAGGAUUAGAUACCCUAGUAGUC